GGUUCCCUGGACUAGUGGAUAGCAUGUGGUGCUGUCAUCGCCGUGGUCCGGGUUCGAUACCCACGCAGGGAACCA
rnacentral:tRNA from 1 species